UACGUAGGCAGCGAGCGCUGUUCGGAGUUACUGGGCGUAAAGAGUGCGUAGGCGGUUUUCUAAGUUUGGUGUGAAAUCUCCCGGCUUAACUGGGAGGGUGCGCCGAAAACUGGAAGGCUUGAGUAUGGGAGAGGUAAGCGGAAUUCCUGGUGUAGCGGUGAAAUGCGUAGAUAUCAGGAGGAACACCUGCGGUGUAGACGGCUUACUGGACCAUAACUGACGCUGAGGCACGAAAGCGUGGGUAGCAAACAGG
rnacentral:rRNA from 1 species